rnacentral:rRNA from 1 species
AGUGAACGCUGGCGGCGUGCCUAAUACAUGCAAGUCGAACGGAGUGGCGCACGGGUGAGUAAUAUAAAGCUAAUCUGCCCCUUGCUGGAGGACAACAGUUAGAAAUGACUGCUAAUACUCCAUAGCAAGGGAUGAGACUAUCUCGGAUCAGCUAGUCGGUGGGGUAACGGCCUACCGAGGCUAUGACGCGUAACUGGUCUGAGAGGAUGAUCAGACACAUUUGCACGGAGAAACGGUCCAAACUCCUACUGUAGGCAUCAGUAGGGAAUAUUGCGACAUGGGGGAAACCCUGACGCAGUAACGGCGCGUGGAGGAUGACACUUUUCGGAGCGUAAACUCCUUUUGUUAGGGAAGCGGUACCUAACGAAUAAGCACCGGCUAACUCCGUGCCAGCAGCCGCGGUAAUUC